GGUCUCGUAGCUCAACGGAUAGAGCACUUGGCUUCGAACCAAGGGGUUGCGGGUUCAAGUCCUGCCGAGACCGCCA
rnacentral:tRNA from 1 species